GAAUGGCAGAUGCCGCUAGCGAGCGCCGCUGGCCAGUAGCGUUCGUGGCCAGUGCCACUCCUGAAAGGCAGGUGCCAGUAGGUGUCACUUCCUGUUGACAGUUGCCGUUUGAGGAUCAAACCCCCUCUCGUUCAAAAGAUCAAACUGGCAUAUUUUAUUGUUGUAAUAAAGGUUUAUUUGUAAGAAUAAGCUUUAACCAGAAGUACAGAUAAUUUAGCAUUUUAUUUACUUAAUUACUUGCAUAUAUACAUACAGGAAGUUACCUUAGCUACAGAGGAAUCAGCUAAUAUUUUAGGCGAUGGUAGCAAAGAUACUUUUUUUUAGGUAAAUUGCUAUUUAUUUUUUUAAUUGUAUUAUUACUUAAUAUGCCACAAAUUAACACUUGACUCAAGACUUAAAAAAAAGAAUAUUUAUUGUUGAGUGUAUUUCAGACUUUAAUGAGACUGUUCAUGGUAUGUAGAAGUGCACAAACUGCAUAAAAGAGCGCACAAACUUGUGUAAAAGUGCACUCUGUGCGUAAAAGCGCAUUCCAUGCGUAAAAGUGCAUUCCGUGCGUAAAAGCGCAUUCUGUGCGUAAAGGCGCAUUCCGUGCGUAAAAGCGCAUUUCGUGGUAAAAUUGCAGCCCGUGCAUAAAGGCGCGCAGCCUAAUCUCAGGGGGUGGACCAAAUACAAUGUAUUAAUCUGAUUAUUCGUCACCUUGUAUAGUUCGAUCUAACACACUAAGACCCCUUUGGCACACACGAGAACAGUCUACUAACCGUGCAUUUUAACUCCUAAUGUCCUGGUGCCAUAAAUUAAAAAAAAUAAAAAUAUAUAAAAACACAUAAUCCUGAAGAUCACAGAAGGUUGCCUACCGUAACGUGGACUCUAGUUACAAAUUGCACGACUUGAAACUUCACUUUGUUCUGAAAGUUCUGAGCUAAUUUAGUGACUAAUCUUAAUAAAUAAACAGAGACUAUUUUGUAAAAAAAACUAACGCAAUACAAAACUCAUUAAUAUUAAACACAUAAAUACAAUAAAGGGGCACAUAUAAAAUUACGUGGUAAACACAAUCCCCUGACAUAAAGCUGAUCAACUGAGAUGGUGAUUUGGGAGGAGCCGGAGCUUCACAACGUGAAGAAAAAGCAGCAACUAUUGUUUGGCAGUUCCAGUCCUUCAAGCUGCUAAAAAACAAACUUUGCAAGUAAGAAGAAUCUAACGUUUAGAACAUAUUAUGGGUUAGUUAACACUUUUUCUUUCCUACAUAAUUCCACAUGUUUCUGUAUGGCAUUCAAUGUAUUUAAUAAUAAAUGUACAAUGUAGAGAAAAAUCAUAAAAAGAAAGAAAACACAUUGAAUGAGAGAAGAUGUUUGUCCAGACCUUUGACUGGUACUGUACAUUACCUCCAGAGCAGCAGGUGGAGCUGUGCUACGUUUCACAGCCUGUGGCAGCGCGGGAAAACAAGCACCCAGCUGACCGAGUCACCAUGGUGAAGCAGCAGCGUCUCUUUGAUGCAGACCAGGAGCAGCGGGGCACUUUAAACUGACCCCCGUAAAUGUAUACAGGAGUGGUGGUCACCAAGAGAAACGAAUGCUGAAACGAAUGCUGAAAUUAGGAGAGGUUAAACGUGAAAAUAUAGAAUCCACGAUGUUCAAAGACGCAGAAAAAACUCCCUGUAAUCUCAAUUCUGAGACGCCAAGCAGAAAAACAAAGAGAAACACCGGCAAGAAAAGAAUCUCCCAGUGCUUGGAGUGUGGGAAGAUUUUCUCCAGACCAGACGUUCUGAAACUGCACCAGCGCGUUCACACAGGGGAGAAACCGUAUCACUGCUUGGAGUGCGGGAAGAGUUUUGCUAGACUGAGUCAUCUCCAGAGGCACCAGCGCAUUCACACGGGAGAGAAGCCGUAUCAGUGCACAGAAUGUGGGAAGCGUUUGACAAGACUUCUGUACCUCAAAGAACACCAGCGCGUUCACACAGGAGUGAAACCGUAUCCCUGUUUACAGUGUGGAGAGAAUUUCGGCGACAAACAGAACCUUAAACGGCAUCAGCGUAUUCACACCGGAGAGAAACCGUUUUAUUGUGUGAAUUGUGGAGUGGCUUUCAGGGACCGAAGUAAUUUUAAACGACACCAACUCAUUCACACGGGGGAGAUGCCAUAUUUCUGCACAAAGUGUGGGCGGAGCUUCAGGCACUCUGAUAAUGCAAAAAAUCAUAAAUGUGCUAAACGGAAAGGGUAAGCUGGAGAUCAUUACGUGGAUCAGAAAGCAUGAACGAUUUUAUUUAUGUUGCUGUCACGUUCACAUCUCCUGCAGUUAAGAAUUUAAAACACUUAUGUUGGUCCAUUUGUCAUGAAUAAAAAAAAAAACUGAACAUAAGUCAUAAAGUGUUGGAUUGACCUGGAAAUGAAUGGCAAUCUUAUAGUGUCAGCUUAAAUGUCAUGAGCUUAUCUGAAGGUGCAGCCUCUGUUCCACAGUCCUUUUUAAUCCUUUUUAGUCAUUUUAAUUACAACUUUCUGAAUGCUGCUAAAUGUUUAAUCCUGUUUGCACAGUUUUGUUACAGGUUGUUAAUAAAGCAUUGAUGUCUGACGUCCA